rnacentral:rRNA from 1 species
GGAGGAACGCAUGGGAUCGCAAGACCUUGCGCUCAUUGAGCGGCCGAUGCCUGAUUAGCUAGUUGGUGAGGUAAAGGCUUACCAAGGCGACGAUCAGUAGCUGGUCUGAGAGGACGACCAGCCACACUGGGACUGAGACACGGCCCAGACUCCUACGGGAGGCAGCAGUGGGGAAUUUUGGACAAUGGGGGAAACCCCGAUCCAGCCAUGCCGCGUGAGUGAAGAAGGCCUUCGGGUUGUAAAGCUCUUUCAGCCGGAACGAAACGGUCACGGCUAAUACCUGUGACUACUGACGGUACCGGAAGAAGAAGCACCGGCUAACUACGUGCCAGCAGCCGCGGUAAUACGUAGGGUGCGAGCGUUAAUCGGAAUUACUGGGCGUAGAGCGUGCGCAGGCGGUUUUGUAAGUCAGAUGUGAAAUCCCCGGGCUUAACCUGGGAACUGCGUUUGAAACUACAAGGCUAAGGG